rnacentral:tRNA from 1 species
AGCCUUGUGGUGAAGUUCAUGUUAGAUUGCAAAUCUAGAGAUGUACCUUAGAUGUGGUAUCAGGGCUU